rnacentral:rRNA from 1 species
CAAGGAGUUUAUCGUGUACGCAAGUCAUUGGGUGAUAAAAACUCAAAGGCGAAAUGAAAGUAAAGAAUGCAAGAUAGAGAGGAUGAAAAUUUUUUUUAUCUUUGAUUCUUUCAUUCAAGGGAAGAUAGGCUAUCUUAAUUUUUCUUUUAGAAAAAUUUUGAUCCUCGCAUUCCCAGGGCGCUUGUUUUCUCGCUUUGCGAGUCUAUGCGCACCUAGAGCGUACACGAUGAUACCCGAAAGAUGGUGAACUAUGCCUGGCCAGGACGAAGCCAGGGGAAACCCUGGUGGAGGUCCGCAGCGAUUCUGACGUGCAAAUCGAUCGUCAGAGCUGGGUAUAGGGGCGAAAGACCAAUCGAACCAUCUAGUAGCUGGUUCCCUCUGAAGUUUCCCUCAGGAUAGCUUGCGCUCGGUUGAGAAGAGUCUCAUCCGGUAGAGCGAAUGAUUAGAGGCAUUGGGGUCGAAACGACCUCAACCUAUUCUCAAACUCCAAAUAGAUGAGACCCCCGGCUUUCUUAAAAUUGAAGCCGUGGGAUUCUGAUCAGAGUGCCAAGUGGGCCAAUUUUGGUA